rnacentral:rRNA from 1 species
UGGUGAGGUAACGGCUCACCAAGGCGACGAUGGGUAGCCGGCCUGAGAGGGUGACCGGCCACACUGGGACUGAGACACGGCCCAGACUCCUACGGGAGGCAGCAGUAGGGAAUAUUGCGCAAUGGGGGGAACCCUGACGCAGCGACGCCGCGUGAGCGAAGAAGGUCUUCGGGUCGUAAAGCUCUGUCCUAUGGGAAGAAAAGGACGGUACCAUAGGAGGAAGCCCCGGCUAACUACGUGCCAGCAGCCGCGGUAAUACGUAGGGGGCGAGCGUUGUCCGGAAUUACUGGGCGUAAAGGGUGCGUAGGCGGAUAUGCAAGUCCGAUGUGAAAUGUUACGGCUUAACCGUGGAGUUGCAUUGGAAACUGUGUAUCUAGAGUGCAGGAGAGGGAAGCGGAAUUCCUAGUGUAGCGGUGAAAUGCGUAGAUAUUAGGAGGAACACCAGUGGCGAAGGCGGCUUCCUGGACUGCAACUGACGCUGAGGCACGAAAGCUGGGUUAGCGAACAGGAUUAGAUACCCUGGUAGUCCCAGCCGUAAACGAUGGGUACUAGGUGUUGUCACUUCAUUGUGGCAGUGCCGGAGUUAA